AGAUUUUUAAAAUUCUUAUUUUAAAAAGCCGAAGGCUUACCGCCUUUUAAGGGUGAGAGAUUUGAAGAAACGAAAGUGCAGACAGCGCUCCAAAUAGUAUUAACCCUGAGAGGUCCCUGGGGAAUUGGGCGGGGGGCGACGAUAACGGUUUUCGGGACUUUGACGCUCUCGUGAUGCUCCGAUCACGACGCGACUUACCUCAUUCGACGUAGAAUUACUUUUUACAUAUAUUAUGACUUAAUUUUACAACAAUUAACAAAAUUAACGGGAGAUUGGAAGCAAAAAAGGAGAAAAAAAGGGGAAACUUCUAAAAUAUAGGAAAAAAAUGUCUUCUAAAAUUAGAGGAUGCAACCACCUCUAAAUGAAAGAAGAACUUUUCAUCUAACGGAAAAGACUAAAUUUGCAUUAUUGUUUUCCUUGUUCGCGAGAUAUCUGCGAAAGAAAAAGACACCCAGAUUGACUUUGAGUUGAUUGUUUGUUGACUAGCAGACGACGGUAAUUUGCAACAGCCAGUCAGCCAGUCUGCUUGUGGGCUGUGGCAUGGCCUACUGUGGGUACUUAAAUUUGAUCGUUUGAAUGUUUGUGAUUGAUUUCAUCUUGUGAAGCAAUGUGUUUAUGUUUCAAAUUUUAACUAUUGCAGGAUUAUAAUAAGGAAAGAAAAACAUGCCUCUUGUGUCACAACUGACUGUUCCUUUACCUAUCAAAUCUGUACCAAAUUUGGCAGAUAGGUCACAUGUAUAGGUGCUGAAUCAACUGGAAAACGUAAAAAAAAUGGAAUUUAAAAUUACAUUUAUCAUCAGACAUACCUCCAUUUCAGUUUUUAUUUGUCGGAAAGAUGACAAGUUGGAAAUUGAUCUACAUGUCACCCUAAAUGAUAUCAUAGCAUACAAUACUUUUUUCGGGAUGCAAAACGAAUUUCCCUCAUUUAAAAGGCAUGUAUGAUUUCAGGGUUGAAAUUUUGUAACGAAGAAAAAUGUAAGCUGCAGCUGUGUAAAAUGGAAUUGACAGAUUACAUUCAUCAUCAGACAUCUUUCAGUUUCAGAAAGCUAUGCAUUGAAGAUGACAAGUUGACAAUUGAUUUACAUGGUACCCUAAGUGAUAUCCUAGAAUACCAUAUUUAUUUGGCCUUCAAAACAAGCUUUCCCCUCAGGCCUCAAUUAUAGCGAAGUACUGAUGGACCAUGACAGUAUAUACUUUGACUGCCAAGACUCCUAAUCAAGAAUCCAUGGCUAUAGAGAAUUUCGCUGCCCACGCUAUUCUCCAGCUACUCGUCGUGAUUGCCAACAAUUAGGGUUAGGAUUCAGCCCAACUUGUGUCGUCAUAGCUUCGAGCUGAACAUUAAGAAGGAAAAGCCACCUUUGGUCUAAUUCAUCGAUGUUGUAUGUAGAAUUCAAUAAUAUGUUCAUUGUUUUUAAAUAGAUAUGAACCCUGGCAAAAUCAAUUAGAUGCAGCAGUUGGGAGUCACAAAAUCCUUUUUUGUCAAGCGUCAUGUGCUAGUUUAAUAGGUUUACCAAUACAAGAUUUUUGAAACGGG